GACACUACUCCAGUAACAAUUGAGGUCGAAGCCAAAAUCUCUCGCUCUAUUUUUCUGUCAUUCAUAUGCAUAUAGGGUUCUGAACGUUUCCUUUUUACCUUGGAAUUUGGGGAAGAAAGAAAAAUCUCCAAAAGAGUAAAAUCUAUAUUUCGAGGAGAUCUAUUGUUUUUCUCUCUCUUUCUCUACUUGCAAGAAAUCGGUGAUUUCUCAGCUUUUAAUUGAUUGUUUGUUUACUCUUCUUAGUAAAGUGUCACCUACGGAAGUUUGAAGGGCUAUUGUUUGCUCCGCAUUUCCAUGUUUUUUUUCUGGUAAGUGCUCUGUACUAAUUCGUAAUGUCUAUGUUACUGUUUCUGUUUUUUAAUAUUCUG
rnacentral:lncRNA from 1 species